rnacentral:rRNA from 1 species
AUUGAACGCUGGCGGCAGGCCUAACACAUGCAAGUCGAGCGGUAGCACAGAGGAGCUUGCUCCUUGGGUGACGAGCGGCGGACGGGUGAGUAAUGUCUGGGAAACUGCCUGAUGGAGGGGGAUAACUACUGGAAACGGUAGCUAAUACCGCAUAACGUCUACGGACCAAAGCGGGGGACUUUCUGGCCUCGCGCCAUCAGAUGUGCCCAGAUGGGAUUAGCUAGUAGGUGAGGUAAUGGCUCACCUAGGCGACGAUCCCAAGCUGGGCUGAGAGGAUGACCGGCCACACUGGAACUGAGACACGGUCCAGACUCCUACGGGAGGCAGCAGUGGGGAAUAUUGCACACGGGGCGCAAGCGUGAUUCAGCCAUGCCGCGUGUGUGAAGAAGGCCUUAGGGUUGUAAAGCACUUUCAGCGGGGAAGAAUGCGGUGAGAUUAAUACUCUCACCGAUUGACGUUACCCGCAGAAGAAGCACCGGCUAACUCCGUGCCAGCAGCCGCAGUAACAC